rnacentral:rRNA from 1 species
AUUGAACGCUGGCGGUAGGCCUAACACAUGCAAGUCGAGCGGAGCGGCGGACGGGUGAGUAAUGCCUAGGAAUCUGCCUGGUAGUGGGGGAUAACGUCCGGAAACGGGCCCUAAUACCGCAUACUAUCAGAUGAGCCUAGGUCGGAUUAGCUAGUUGGUGGGGUAAAGGCCUACCAAGGCGACGAUCCGUAACUGGUCUGAGAGGAGGAUGAGUCAAACGGGAACGGAGACACGGUCCAGACUCCUACGGAGGGCAGCAGUGGGGAAUAUUGGAAAAUGGGCGAAAUCCUGAUCCAGCCAGGCCGCGUGUGUGAAGAAGGUCUUCGGAUUGUAAAGCACUUUAAGAUGGGAGGCGUUACCAACAGAAUAAGCACCGGCUAACUUCGUGCCAGCAGCCGCGGUAAUUC